rnacentral:rRNA from 1 species
AGGAAUUGGCGGGGGAGCACCGCAACGGGAGGAGCGUGCGGUUUAAUUGGAUUCAACACCGGAAAACUCACCAAGGGCGACUAUCACAUGAAAGCCAGGCUAACGACCUUGCUUGAUUCUUAGAGGGGUGGUGCAUGGCCGUCGUCAGUUCGUACCGUAAGGCGUUCUCUUAAGUGAGAUAACGAACGAGACCCUCAUCUAUAAUUGCUACUUCACCCUCCGGGGUGGAGGCACAUUAUCGAGACCGCUGGCGCUAAGUCAGAGGAAGGAGAGGUCAACGGUAGGUCAGUAUGCCCCGAAUCUCUUGGGCUACACGCGCGCUACAAAGGGCGGGACAAUGGGCUACGACGCCGAAAGGCGAAGUCAAUCUCGAAACCCGUCCGUAGUUCGGAUUGAGGCUUGUAACUCAGCCUCAUGAAGCUGGAUUCCGUAGUAAUCGCGAAUCAAAAACUCGCGGUGAAUAUGCCCCUGCUCCUUGCACACACCGC